ensembl:snoRNA
AUCCUUUUGUGAUUCAUAAGCAUGAUUGUGUUUUCACACCACUGUGUGAGAUGGCACUCCCUCAAAUCUGAGUAUGACUCCAGCACAUUACCCAUCUGACA